rnacentral:rRNA from 1 species
UAAGCCGUUGAAGGUGUGUUGUAAAGCAUGCUGGAGGUAUCAGAAGUGCGAAUGCUGACAUGAGUAACGACAAGGGGGGUGAAAAACCUCCCCGCCGGAAGACCAAGGGUUCCUGUCCAACGUUAAUCGGGGCAGGGUAAGUCGACCCCUAAGGCGAGGCCGAAAGGCGUAGUCGAUGGGAAACGGGUUAAUAUUCCCGUACUUCUUACAAUUGCGAUGGGGGGACGGAGAAGGCUAGGUGGGCCUGGCGACGGUUGUCCAGGUUCAAGUGCGUAGGCUGAGUGUUUAGGUAAAUCCGGACACUCUUAAGGCUGAGACACGACGUCGAGCUACUACGGUAGUGAAGUCAUUGAUGCCAUGCUUCCAGGAAAAGCCUCUAAGCUUCAGAUUGUAAGGAAUCGUACCCCAAACCGACACAGGUGGUCGGGUAGAGAAUACCAAGGCGCUUGAGAGAACUCGGGUGAAGGAACUAGGCAAAAUGGUACCGUAACUUCGGGAGAAGGUACGCUCUUGAUGGUGAAGUCCCUUGCGGAUGGAGCUGACGAGAGUCGCAGAUACCAGGUGGCUGCAACUGUUUAUUAAAAACACAGCACUGUGCAAAAUCGUAAGAUGACGUAUACGGUGUGACGCCUGCCCGGUGCCGGAAGGUUAAUUGAUGGGGUUAGCGUAAGCGAAGCUCUUGAUCGAAGCCCCGGUAAACGGCGGCCGUAACUAUAACGGUCCUAAGGUAGCGAAAUUCCUUGUCGGGUAAGUUCCGACCUGCACGAAUGGCGUAAUGAUGGCCACGCUGUCUCCACCCGAGACUCAGUGAAAUUGAAAUCGCUGUGAAGAUGCAGUGUACCCGCGGCUAGACGGAAAGACCCCGUGAACCUUUACUACAGCUUGGCACUGAACAUUGAACCUACAUGUGUAGGAUAGGUGGGAGGCUUUGAAGACGUGACGCCAGUUGCGUUGGAGCCGUCCUUGAAAUACCACCCUUGUAUGUUUGAUGUUCUAACGUUGGCCCCUAAUCGGGGUUGCGGACAGUGCCUGGUGGGUAGUUUGACUGGGGCGGUCUCCUCCCAAAGAGUAACGGAGGAGCACGAAGGUGGGCUAAUCACGGUUGGACAUCGUGAGGUUAGUGCAAUGGCAUAAGCCCGCUUAACUGCGAGAAUGACGGUUCGAGCAGGUGCGAAAGCAGGUCAUAGUGAUCCGGUGGUUCUGAAUGGAAGGGCCAUCGCUCAACGGAUAAAAGGUACUCCGGGGAUAACAGGCUGAUACCGCCCAAGAGUUCAUAUCGACGGCGGUGUUUGGCACCUCGAUGUCGGCUCAUCACAUCCUGGGGCUGAAGUCGGUCCCAAGGGUAUGGCUGUUCGCCAUUUAAAGUGGUACGCGAGCUGGGUUUAGAACGUCGUGAGACAGUUCGGUCCCUAUCUGCCGUGGGCGUUGGAAGAUUGAAGGGGGCUGCUCCUAGUACGAGAGGACCGGAGUGGACGAACCUCUGGUGUUCGGGUUGUGUCGCCAGACGCAUUGCCCGGUAGCUAAGUUCGGAAUCGAUAACCGCUGAAAGCAUCUAAGCGGGAAGCGAGCCCUGAGAUGAGUCUUCCCUGAUACUUUAAGUAUCCUGAAGGGUUGUUCGAGACUAGAACGUUGAUAGGCAGGGUGUGUAAGCGCUGUGAGGCGUUGAGCUAACCUGUACUAAUUGCCCGUGAGGCUUAACCAUACAACACCCAAAGGGUUUUG